UACGUAGGGCGCAAGCGUUGUCCGGAAUUAUUGGGCGUAAAGAGCUCGUAGGUGGCUUGUUGCGUCUGCCGUGAAAGCCCGUGGCUUAACUACGGGGCUGCGGUGGAUACGGGCAGGCUAGAGGCUGGUAGGGCAAGCGGAAUUCCUGGUGUAGCGGUGAAAUGCGCAGAUAUCAGGAGGAACACCGGUGGCGAAGGCGGCUUGCUGGGCCAGUUCUGACGCUGAGGAGCGAAAGCGUGGGGAGCGAACAGG
rnacentral:rRNA from 1 species